rnacentral:rRNA from 1 species
GCAAGUUGAGGGGUAACAGGUAGUAAGUUUACUUAUUAUGCUGACGACCGGCGCACGGGUGAGUAACGCGUAUGCAACCUACCUUUAACUGGAGAAUAGCCCCGAGAAAUCGGGAUUAAUGCUCCAUAACAUUACGAUACCGCAUGGUAUUGUUAUUAAAGCUCCGGCGGUUAAAGAUGGGCAUGCGUGACAUUAGUUUGUUGGUGAGGUAACGGCUCACCAAGACUUCGAUGUCUAGCUGGUCUGAGAGGAUGAUC